rnacentral:lncRNA from 1 species
AUGACCCCAGGGCAGCACCUGGGGGGUCAAAUCCCAAAAAUCUGCUGGGAUGGAACUGGGGUGGAACUGGGAGAGAACUGGGAGGGAACUGGGAUGGAACUGGGGUGGGAUUUGGGGAGCAGCUCCGGGAGAUUUGGGGGAGCAGCUCUGGGAGAUUUUGGGGAGCAGCUCCGGGAGAUUUUGGGGAGCAGCUCCGGGAGAUUUUGGGGAGCAGCUCCAAGAGAUUUCACAGAGCAGCUCCGGGGGAUUUCGGGGAGCAGCUCCAGGAGAUUUGGGGGAGCAGCUCCGGGAGAUUUUGGGGGAGCAGCCCCAGGAGAUUUGGGAGAUUUUGGGGAGCAGCCCCAGGAGAUUUGGGAGAUUUUGGGGAGCAGCCCCAGGAGAUUUGGGAGAUUUUGGGGAGCAGCCCCAGGAGAUUUGGGAGCCUCCCUCGGGUCCCUCCUGACCUCGACCUGGCCUGGGCUCAUCCAGAUCAUGGAUUCCAUUCCACAAUCAUGGAAUUAUCUGGGAAUUCACCCGCGGGGGUGGAAUUCAUCCACUGGGGACAAAAUUCAUCCUUUGGGGAUAAAAUUUAUCCCAUUGGGGACAAAAUUCAUCCUUUGGGGAUGGAAUUUAUCCCAUGGGGGUCCCGCAGUCCCAGCUGGAUCAGCACAACCAGCAAGGAAAACUGAACCACUUCGAGUUUUAUUUCAUUUUUAUUUUCAAUUUUUUUAUUUUGUUUUAUUUUAUUUUAUUUUGUUGCCGGUUUUUUGCUUUGUGGGGAGGAAAUCCCAGCUUGGCCAGCCCGGGCUGCUGAGGGGGUGGGGCUGGAUAUUCCCAAUCUGA